rnacentral:rRNA from 1 species
AGUGAACGCUGGCGGUAGGCCUAACACAUGCAAGUCGAACGGCAGCACAGGAGAGCUUGCUCUCUGGGUGGCGAGUGGCGGACGGGUGAGGAAUACAUCGGAAUCUACUCUGUCGUGGGGGAUAACGUAGGGAAACUUACGCUAAUACCGCAUACGACCUACGGGUGAAAGCAGGGGACCUUCGGGCCUUGCGCGAUUGAAUGAGCCGAUGUCGGAUUAGCUAGUUGGCGGGGUAAAGGCCCACCAAGGCGACGAUCCGUAGCUGGUCUGACAGGAUGAUCAGCCACACGGGAACUGAGCCACGGUCCAGACUCCUACGGGAGGCAGCAGUGGGGAAUAUUGGACAAUGGGCGCAAGCCUGAUCCAGCCAUACCGCGUGGGUGAAGAAGGCCUUCGUGUUGUAAAGCCCUUUUGUUGGGAAAGAAAUCCAGCUGGCUAAUACCCGGUUGGGAUGACGGUACCCAAAGAAUAAGCACCGGCUAACUUCGUGCCAGCCGCCGCGGUAA